CGCUUCUUCCCCAGAUCCACGCUCUCAUCGGUCUCUCUCUCAUCCUCUGCCAAAUGCCUUUACCUUCGAACCACCGAAAAUGACAAUUUUCGAUGGUCAUCUCUUCCACACCGUCCGUCGUCUAUCAAUCGAUGCCCCCAUCGCCUGUCAAUUUUUUUUCCCUCUUUUCUUCCUUUUCAGACGCUUAUCUUUCCCACAACUAUGACACUUCUUCUUUUUCGGGAAAAUGGGGACGACGCUUCUCUUUCUCCUCCUUCCCAAGCAUCUGCACGCCUCACUGUUUUUCCUCGUUUCCCAUGCCUCUUCCGUCAUUCCUAUAAGAGAACGGCUAUGAACCGCUGGAAAAUAACAAUAUACGGUGAUCUCUUUCUUUAUAUCUCCUCCAUCACUCCUUUUCUUUUUUAUGAAAAUAGAGUCUAUGCCGCAUAUUCCUGAGCCCAACGGCUCAAGAAACUGAAAAAAAAGGGAUGUCGAUUUGAUGUAGCAGUGACUCUCUCUCUGUUUUCCUACGAUUUUUGGAUUUCAAAUCAGACCUUGAAGUCCGAUUUUCUUCUAUAAAAGGGCAGGUCUCUUUCAUUUCGAAGGAGGGACAAGGAUCAAAGAACAAUAAAAUAGAGGGAUAAGAUACACUUCAAGCAGAGAUUUCAGAAAAUUUCUAUAUUCUUUCAUCUUUCCUUUAUGAAUUUGAGUUUGAGUAAAUUUGAAGUUGGAAUCUCGUGACGUCAAAGCCCUGUUUGCUGCUCUACAAAAGUUUCUGUUUUGGGACUCGUCUAAACAUUUCUUAGCAUUGUCUUUCAUUGCUUUAAUUAUAUUGUUUCGAUAUGUUGGCUAACCUUUACUUACAAAAUUGGAUAUGUUGCUUGUCUUUUAUUUUUGAAGAUUAUUUCGUGAGCUAA